rnacentral:rRNA from 1 species
UGGGGAAUAUUGCACAAUGGAGGGAACUCUGAUGCAGCGACGCCGCGUGAACGAAGAAGGCUUUCGAGUCGUAAAGUUCUUUUAUAUGGGAAGAUAAUGACGGUACCAUAAGAAAAAGCCCCGGCUAACUACGUGCCAGCAGCCGCGGUAAUACGUAGGGGGCUAGCGUUGUCCGGGAUCACUGGGCGUAAAGGGUUCGCAGGCGGAUAUGCAAGUCAGGUGUAAAAGGCAGUAGCUUAACUACUGUAAGCAUUUGAAACUGCAUAUCUUGAGAAGAGUAGAGGUAAGUGGAAUUUUUAGUGUAGCGGUGAAAUGCGUAGAUACUAAAAAGAAUACCGGUGGCGAAGGCGACUUACUGGGCUCAUUCUGACGCUGAGGAACGAAAGCGUGGGUAGCAAACAGG